UACGUAGGGACCGAGCGUUGUCCGGAAUUAUUGGGCGUAAAGGGCUCGUAGGCGGUUUGUCGCGUCGGGAGUGAAAUCCACUGGCUUAACUGGUGGCUUGCUUUCGAUACGGGCAGACUGGAGGUAUGCAGGGGAGAACGGAAUUCCUGGUGUAGCGGUGAAAUGCGCAGAUAUCGGGAGGAACACCUAUGGCGAAGGCAGCUCGCUGGGACGUUACUGACGCUGAGACGCGAAAGCGUGGGGAGCAAACAGG
rnacentral:rRNA from 1 species